UACGGAGGAUGCGAGCGUUAUCCGGAAUCAUUGGGUUUAAAGGGUGCGUAGGCUGGUAUUUAAGUCAGUGGUGAAAUUUUCGUGCUUAACAUGAGAGCUGCCAUUGAUACUGGAUACCUUGAGUGUAUUUGAUGUGGGCGGAAUGUGUUGGUGUAGCGGUGAAAUGCAUAGAUAUGACACAGAACACCGAUAGCGAAGGCAGCUCACAAAGUUACAACUGACGCUGAUGCACGAAAGCGUGGGGAUCAAACAGG
rnacentral:rRNA from 1 species